UUAGAAAUAAAAUGAAAUGCUGGCGAAAGGGCUCCUCCUCUUCCGCUACGUCGCCAAGAUGGCGGCCGCUUAGUGCGAGUAGUGUCCAUCGUUUUAUACUACGGCUGUGUCUACUACCGCGCACUUGAGCACUUCGAGCACUGACUUUCAGUGCUCGAAGUGCGCCACACUGACAAAACCAGCAAAAUGCAGUGCACUGAAAGUACCCGGAUGGUGCACUGCAAACGGGCAAAACAUGUAAAACGAUGGACACUACUCGCCCUAAGCGGCCGCCAUCUUGGCGACGUACCGGAAGAGGAGGAGCCCUUUCGCCAGCUUUUCAUUUUAUUUCUAAAACAAUGGCGGACAGCACAAGCGGUAGACCACGAAGCUACAGACCGUAAAUAGACGUUUCCUGGAGGUGCUGCUGGUCCUCUGCUGCCCUCCCGACAUCUGGCUCCAAUGACCUCUGGCACCUCACAUCCACCUCCAGGGCCUUUAAGAAGAUGGACCGCCAUCGCGUCUUCAGUAUCCAGAAGGACCUCUCCACAACACAACACACCUCGCCUUUGACAGGCAGCAGUUGUAGCUUGGAGGUGGACAGGCUGCCUGAAGGGGGUCAUGAGGCAGAUGGGUUGGGACAGGCAGGGGGAGCCACCAUCCCCAAGGAUACAGUAUCCUGGUGGAGGGGAUGACUGCUCAUAGAAGAUGGGGCUGUUAUUCAGGACCCUGGCAUCAUGCACUGAGCCCGGGGCCUGUCGAAGGCCCUGGCCACCACCCGAUAGGAGGUGGCCCUGGCAAGCCAAAAAAUAAAAACUAGACGGGAGAUCUCGGGGCCCCAACCGUGGUCAGUCAGUGCCCAGCACAGCCAUGAGGGCGUUGAAUGACUCGGUGAGCCUGAAGUCCACCCUCAUGUCACUGUGGCCAUCACAACACAACGCCAGCAGUGGCAUUGCAACAUGGAUACGGCAGCGCCGCCUGGGACUGGGUGGCUGCUGUAGAGUGUGGGAGGGGAAGGGAAGAUUAUAUUAAUAUGAAAGUCAUUUUAUCAAUAAAAUGUUGUCAUU